CCUACGGGGGGCUGCAGUGGGGAAUAUUGGACAAUGGGCGAAAGCCUGAUCCAGCCAUGCCGCGUGUGUGAAGAAGGCCUUCGGGUUGUAAAGCACUUUCAGUGGGGAAGAAAGCCUUGGGGCUAAUACCCUCGAGGAAGGACAUCACCCACAGAAGAAGCACCGGCUAACUCCGUGCCAGCAGCCGCGGUAAUACGGAGGGUGCGAGCGUUAAUCGGAAUUACUGGGCGUAAAGCGCGCGUAGGCGGUCUGAUAAGCCGGUUGUGAAAGCCCCGGGCUCAACCUGGGAACGGCAUCCGGAACUGUCAGGCUAGAGUGCAGGAGAGGAAGGUAGAAUUCCAGGUGUAGCAGUGAAAUGCGUAGAGAUCGGGAGGAAUACCAGUGGCGAAGGCGGCCUUCUGGACUAACACUGACGCUGAGGUGCGAAAGCGUGGGUAGCAAACAGGAUUAGAUACCCGGGUAGUC
rnacentral:rRNA from 1 species